rnacentral:sRNA from 1 species
GCUGGGCGCGGUGGCUCACGCCUGUAAUCCCAGCACUUUGGGAGGCCGAGGCAGGUGGAUCACCUGAGGUCAGGAGUUCGAGACCAGCCUGGCCAACAUGGUGAAACCCUGUCUCUA